CCUGUUCCAGCUGGAAUUUCUGCUGGGCCUCCCUCUGGCUACAGAACCGCCAGUGCUGAAACCAGUUCCGGAGACGACCUGAAGCAGAUCAAAAUCAGCAUUUCAAGCUACAUGGACUAAGAAUAAACAGUUCUCUGGGAAAUUUCUGGGCUUCCAGCACCACGAAGGGACCACUGAGCAUCCUACCUGGAAGACUACAUAGCCACCUUGUUAUUCCUGCUUCCUGUCCCAGUAAGACCCCAGCUACUCUGUACUGACUAUUAAGGUCCAGCCUCAAGGACAAGUACUGGAUUCUGAGCACCUCAGGGCUCUCUUACCUCUAUCCAGUGCUUUCCGGGCCUCCCUGAGGGCGGCUGCCUCCUUUUGUCGGUAAUACAUCUGCACUGAUGUAACCUCCCG